rnacentral:lncRNA from 1 species
GAUAGAGGUUGAUUGGGCGGAGGGAGAGGUUUGUCAGGUCGGAGGCUCCGAUAGACUCCCGUUAGAGGGUCGAACCCACUUUUCGGAUCGAACCGACUCGUUGGAUCGAUCCAACCGCUCUGAGUUGUCCCUGAUGACAUCGUUGUGCUUCUUUGAUUUGGGAAGAGAGACUGAGAAUGUGUUGCGAGAGUGAGUUUGCAGGAGAAGUCUAAGCGAAGACCAAGCGGACAGAGACCAGGCGGUGCCGGAUGAAGGAGAAGACGUAUUGCUCAAAACUUUUUCUGGUUCAUUCAAAUUUCUCGGGUCGAUUUUUUUAUUUUUUAUUUUUAUUUUUUUACUUUGUCUAAGCACUUAUAAGACGAUUUAAAAUAUAAUUUAUAGAAUAUAAAUUUUACUUUUAUAAUUAUCAACAAAAAUUUAAAAAUAAAGACUAUAUUUACGAAUCCUUUAAUUUAUUAAUAUUAUUAAAAUAUUUCUUGUUUUAUACGGUAUUAUUUUAACAAAAUAUUUACAAAAAUUAGUUUUAUUUGAUUUUAAUUAAUAUUUAUACUUUUAAUUUAAAAUGCAUUGUUUUUGAAAAAAAUAUAUAUAUUUUGAUCAUAUAUUAUAUAUUUUAAUAUUUAAAAGAUUUAGUUUAUAAGCAGAUCAAUAAAAUUGUAACAAUUUGAUGCUUAUUAAGAAAAUUGAUUAACAUCUACCAAGUGGUUGACGAAAUAAAUUAUUGAAAAAGAUGAAGUUGGACAAGUCGUAUUGAAUUUAUUUCAUUGUUCCUUUCAAUCUCCAAACAACACCCCCCCACCUAUUUUAUUAUAUGAAAUCCGGGAUAAAUAUGUAUAUAUUAUAUUAUAUUUAAAGCAACAUCUUAUAUAUUAAAAAGCAAAAAAGACAAAAUAAUAUUCACAAUUUAGAUGAAUUGGGAGAGACAGCACCAGCACGAGCAACCAGUUCCCUUCUCAGUGUUUUGCCCGCAGCAGAUUUUGGAAUUGAAUUGAUAAAACCAACUCGCCUUAUUUUUUUGUAUGGUGCAACCUGCAAAGCUUCCAUGAAAGUCAAGAUAGCAAAGAGUAAUCCUGAAUCAACUAUAUAUAUGUGAUACGGGGAAUGAGAAACAUGCCUGUUUGGCAACAAAGUCAAUAAGUUGACUCUGAGUGAGAUUGCUUCCAGGUUUUUUCACCACAAUCGCCAUGGGAAUCUGUCCAGCUUCCUCAUCAGGAUACCUGUAAUUCCCAAACACAGUUAGUACAGUUAGCCAUUAGUUUAGAUUAGUUUUAUUAAUUAAUCAUCAUCAGUGUAAGUAAUCAAAGCUUAGGUUCUGUAUAUAAAUACCCCACACUUCAAUUAAGGAUUUUCUCUCACUCUCUCGAACAUUUCAUCCACACAAGAAAUUCUUCACUGUUUUCUUCUCAAGUUCUAGAUGAUUUUAGAAUUUAACAAAGCAAGACGAACUGAAAAAGGGAAAUAUAUAUAUAUAUAUAUAUAUAUAGAUUUACUCACGGAAUUACAGCUGCAUCAACGAUUUCAGGAUGGGACUGAAGCAAAUUCUCCAACUCAGCUGGAGGAACCUGCAUAUACACACACACACACACAUAUAUAUAUAUAAGUUUAGAGAGAAAACAAUUUUUAAGCUUCAAUGAUGAGAGGUAGAGAGCAAAUCACCUGAUAUGCCUUAUAUUUGAUCAAUUCUUUUAACCUAUCAACAACGUAGAUGAACCCUUCAGAAUCAAAGGAACAAAUAUCCCCAGUUCUAAGCCAGCCUUCUGAAUCCAAAGUUUCUGCAGUUGCCUUAUCAUCUCCGACAUACCCUGUACUAAACCCAUCAAUAUCAUCUUCCUUAAUCACCCACUACCCAAACCCUUUUAUAUAUGCAUGUGCAUAUAUAUAUAUAUAUAUAAUGAGGCUACUACUUAUCAAUCACUAUACUUCCAGGGUCUGCAACAUAUAUAAGACAUAAACGAACUGAGAACAAAUUACCCUUCAUGAUAAUCUGGCCUCGCAACCAAAGCUCUCCCCUCUGUCCAGGAGGAAGGGCCCGGCCAGUGACAGGAUCAACAAUCUUGGCUUCUGUAUUUUCAGCUAGACGACCCACUGAUCCAUGUCUUCUUGUCUCAUCUGGUCUGAUUGUUCGGGAAGCAACCCCGGAAGACUCGGUCAAACCAUAUCCCUAUUAUAUAACAUCAUAAACAUCAGAAAUUAACCACUCAAAACCCCAAACUAAAUUCAUAAUGAUCACACUCUGUUUACCAUUACGAUCUCUGUAGUAGGGAACUUGUUCUUGAACCUCUCCGCAGCUUCCUUCCCUAAUGGUGCACCGCCGCAGCCCAGCAUUAUGAGCGAACUNNNNNNNNNNNNNNNNNNNNNNNNNNNNCAACACUAGCGUCUCUCCGGCCGCCGCUGCCUUCAAAAGCAUGAUAAACCCAAACACGUGAAACAGAGGAAGUGUGAAGAGAGAUACGGCGUGCGGCGAUGGUCCCGGAUCAGGGGUGAAUCGGAAAUGGUAAAACCCGGUGGAUACAGCUAUCAAAUUACGGUGUGUCAGCAACACGCCCUUCACCCGCCCGGUUGUGCCCGAAGAGUAGAGGAUCGCGGCGGGGUCCGACUGACUUACCUGGACGCGGUUGAUGAAUCCUAGGCUGUCUCCGCCAUGGCCGGAGGGCUGAGUCAACCAUGAAAUGAACUCGGGCGAGUCGAUGAUUACUAUUCCUUUUGGGAGGGAAGGGAGCUUGGCGGCAACUUGGGAGGUGGUAAAAGCAAUGACUGGUCUGCUGAGGCGGACCUGGUGAGAGACCUCUGAGUUGGAUCCAAGCGGGUUGGCGGGAGAGACGACGACGCCUAGAGACAAUAGAGAGAAGUAGAGAACGGGAACGUGGAGGGAAGGAGGUGCGAGUAUAAAAGCGACGUCGUUGCGGGAGAGAGAGUAGCGGGUUUGCAGAUACCGCGCUAAUGAGUUGGUCCGGUAAAGGAACUCGGUGUGGGAGAGGCCGUGGCCGGUAGAGGCAUCGACGAGGAAGGUGGUGGCGGUGCAGAUGGCGGAGGAGCGGAGCAGAGAGAAGGAGUAUUGGACGACGGAUAGAGGUUGUUUGGGUGGAGGGAGCGGGACGAAGGGUCUCAGGCUCCGGUAGGUACUGGUUAGCGGGUCGAACCCACUGUUCGGGUCGAUCGGGCGGCUGUGAUUGUUGGGCGAUGACAUAACACUGAUUCGUUUCGAGAGAGAGGGAGAAACGAGGGUAUGCUGUUGUUGCAGCAGGGAGUUUGCAGGAGAGAGCGAUAGAAGCAGAGAAGUAUGCAAAUUUACUGGAAAAAGAAACUAAAAAUUUCUGCCAACUUAUUAUACGGAGAAUGGUCCUAUUUUAAUAAUAUAUAUAUAUAUAUAUUAUUAAACUGGCAAUGCAUUG